rnacentral:snRNA from 1 species
ACCGCUUCUCGGCCUUUUGGCUAAGAUCAAGUGUAGUGCCUGUUCUUACCAGUUUAAUAAUGGAUCAUGGCAGUGUUUCCUACUGAGUGCAGAGACAGUCUUGGGAUCUUUCUUAACACAGCAAUCACUUUCAGUUGCCAACCUUGU